GUGCUCACUUUGGCAGCACAUAUACUAAAAUUGGAACAAUUAGCAUUGGUCCCUGCAUAAGGAUGACAUGCAAAUUCAUGAAGUGCUCCAUGUUUUU
rnacentral:snRNA from 1 species